rnacentral:snoRNA from 1 species
GACUAUGAUGACAUAUCCACGUUAUGGAGGUGUAGAUGGUUCCAAGUUCCUGCUAUGCAGGGAGAACCUACUUGGAGCUGCUACAUUCAGAUGACAUUGCUGGAUUGCCUGAGCC